CAUCUUCCGUCAGUCGAUUGCACAGCUCUGUGAGAGGAGGUUUAGUAGCGAAGCUCGUCAAUAGAAAAUUAAUUAACAUUAACAAUAUGCCUGGCUUAUUUUCUAAAGUUUCAUCCGGUCAGCUGCAUCUUGGUUCUUUGAGUGGUUGGAGAUUUUCAUCCAUUGCCCGGUAUGGUGUGGUGUUGGCAACUCUGGGCCUAUUCUUCACAGAAUGGAAAGUAGUAACACGGAACCUGCCCAUUUACAACUUGAAAUAUGAAAAUUCUGACUACAACUACCUCAGGGAACAGGAUAAGGCUGAGGCUCAGGCCAAGGCUGAAGCUGCUGAAAGAGCAGCUGCCAAGGCAGCGGCUGCAAACUAGACUUUUCAGUGGAGGAUCAUUGCUGCCGAGGAUUUAUCUAUUGUAAAAUGGUGUAAAAUAUAACAUUAAAUUUUA